UGGAUUCGCUAGUAAUCGCGCAUCAGCCAUGGCGCGGUGAAUACGUUCCCGGGCCUUGUACACACCGCCCGUCAAGCCAUGGAAGCCGGGAGUGCCUGAAGUAUGCAACCGCAAGGAGCGUCCUAAGGUAAAACCGGUGACUGGGGCUAAGUCGUAACAAGGUACC
rnacentral:rRNA from 1 species